GAGACUGUCUCUUCGGAGACAUCCGAUAAAAUUGGAACGAUACAGAGAAGAUUAGCAUGGCCCCUGCGCAAGGAUGACACGCACAAAUCGAGAAAUGGUCCAAAUUUUUUUUCCCCCUAAUCUGGGCAUGGUUUGGGAUUUCCGCUUCUUCCUCUCCAUGUCCUUCUAAUUCGUUCGUUUUUUCCCCUCGAUUUCUUCGUUUAUCAGAUUAAAUAUGGCCAUGGCGGGACCCUGGGUAUGUUUUGGGAUUUCGUCUUCGUCUUCCUUAACCUCUCACAAGGUUGCAAAUGAUGAACUGGAUUGACUGCUUCAACAUUCAAACCUCUCUGCUGGUUUCUCUGACUGUAAUGAAGAAUUGAUCUUGCACAAUAUAGUAAGUAAUCUGGAAACUAAUUGCACAUCAAAGAAGUCCUUGAAGAAUGAUGCUGAAUCUUGUGGAGAUUUGAAAUUUAGAAAGCUGUGUGUGGAUAAGUUUCUGGCAGCAAGAUGGCGGUUGUUUCAAAUAUAUACUCAUUAGAUUUAUCAUGUAAUGAAAGAUCAGAAUGCCUGAUGGAUUCUUCAUAGCAACAGAGACCUUCAGUCAUUUGCUUAUGGUUGAUCCACAGCUGGUAUUUUUGUGCAAGGAAGUACAAUUUCUUCAUGCAUAAUAGAUCACUGCAAAUAAAGCUGCUUAUGUUUCUUAUGUGAAUCCGAGUCAUUCGGCAUUGACGAGACAAAGCUCGUUGUCCAUGUCCCAAGCAUGGUAGGCCUCACAUCUAGUUAUUCAAAGCAAUCUCUUCUGAAAACCUUUGUUUCUUGCAGAUGAACAAGAGAGCAUAUUCGAGGCAAGAUUUGCCCUAAAGAAUGGAUUCUUUGUCCGUGCUUAGUUCUAAUUGAGCACUCGACAGCACAAAAUGUUCUGUAAGUCAUGAUGAAACUCGAUUUACCUAUGUAAUUAAGUGCUGUUCAUUGGUGAAUUUUUCGAUACAUAUUAUGCCUGCAUGCUUUAUUAUUUGAA